UGCAAGUCGAACGCUGAAGGCCCAGCUUGCUGGGUUGGAUGAGUGGCGAACGGGUGAGUAACACGUGAGUAACCUGCCCCCUUCUUUGGGAUAACGGUCGGAAACGGCUGCUAAUACCGGGUAUUCACUGUCCUUCGCAUGGGGGGUGGUGGAAAGGUUUUUUCUGGUGGGGGAUGGGCUCGCGGCCUAUCAGCUUGUUGGUGGGGUGAUGGCUUACCAAGGCUUUGACGGGUAACCGGCCUGAGAGGGUGACCGGUCACAUUGGGACUGAGAUACGGCCCAGACUCCUACGGGAGGCAGCAGUGGGGAAUAUUGCACAAUGGGCGAAAGCCUGAUGCAGCGACGCCGCGUGAGGGAUGACGGCCUUCGGGUUGUAAACCUCUUUCGCUCAUGGUCAAGCCGCAACAGUGGUUGUGGUGAGGGUAGUGGGUAAAGAAGCACCGGCUAACUACGUGCCAGCAGCCGCGGUAAUACGUAGGGUGCGAGCGUUGUCCGGAAUUAUUGGGCGUAAAGGGCUUGUAGGCGGUUUGUCGCGUCUGCCGUGAAAUCCUCUGGCUUAACUGGGGGCGUGCGGUGGGUACGGGCAGGCUUGAGUGCGGUAGGGGAGACUGGAACUCCUGGUGUAGCGGUGGAAUGCGCAGAUAUCAGGAAGAACACCGGUGGCGAAGGCGGGUCUCUGGGCCGUUACUGACGCUGAGGAGCGAAAGCGUGGGGAGCGAACAGGAUUAGAUACCCUGGUAGUCCACGCUGUAA
rnacentral:rRNA from 1 species